UACGAAGGGGGCAAGCGUUGUUCGGAAUUACUGGGCGUAAAGGGCGCGCAGGCGGCUUGUUAAGUCAGAUGUGAAAGCCCCGGGCUCAACCUGGGAAUAGCAUUUGGGACUGAUGGGCUAGAGAUCGGGAGAGGAGAGUGGAAUUCCCAGUGUAGAGGUGAAAUUCGUAGAUAUUGGGAAGAACACCGGUGGCGAAGGCGGCUCUCUGGGCCUUACCUGACGCUGAGGAGCGAAGGUCAGGGGAGCAAACGGG
rnacentral:rRNA from 1 species